UCUCUCUCUCUAGCUCUCUUUAGCUCUCGGUGAGAGAUCGAGCUAGAGAGCUAGAGAGAGAGAGAGGUGUGUUUUCUAACCCACGCAUUGGAGUGGGAGACAACGUGCAUGCUCACACGUGCACACACACACACACACACACACACACUGGCGUCCACUGAGUGUGUGUCAUGCUAGCAGUGUGUGGGCUGAACCGACCAGCCUUCCACUCAUCUCCCUCCCUCUCUCUCCCUCCUCUUCUUCUUCUCCUUCUUCUUCUUCUUCUCUUUUCGUCUCCAGAUACUCUUUCCUCCAUCCUCCAUCAUCUGUUCCUCUUCCUCCUCUUCCUCCUCCUCUUCCUCCUCCUCCUACUCCUCCUCUCCAUCAUUUUCUUUUCAGUUUAUCAUCAUGGAGUCGCUGAUCUUCUGGGAUGGGCAGGGCAGCUCCCAGAAUACCGUCUGAAGCUCUGAGACUCCCCUGCAGGACGACCGUACGCCAGUAGUACUACGGAAAGUACUUCUUCACCGUGUACUGCAGGUACGAGAGGAACCGCAGAAAAUACUUCACCUGCUGCAGAAAAGUACGGCUCGUCUUCUACGCCAAAGAAACACCUCAAAAACCAACCAGGAACCAGGCACCUCGGGCUGGACCAGGAUCAGAAACCAGAGCCAGAACCAGGCCGAGACCAGCACCGGACCAGAGAACCAAUCAGAGCAGACCAAAGCAGGCCAGGACAGACCAGAAGAGCCCAGUAGAACUCAGUAAAGGCCAGUGGAAAAGUUUGAUGGGACUGCUGACGAUAGGUUUCCCAGAGACUAUGGGUUGAGGAGGAAUUGGAAGUUUAUCGGCUUAGACCUGGUGUCAUUCCAUCAGUGUUAAACUUCCCGGCUCAUCUUGGAAGAGUACGUGCCAGAAAGACCACGACCAAGCAGCCUUGAGAUCUUAGGCAGCAUCUCCCUGAGGUCCCUCUCUAUCUCCCCACACAUCCACCAACCACUGGAACACAUCUCCAAAGUUCUGCUGGUCCAGCUCAGCUUCCCCUCAGAAGAAGUGCUGCCACCUGCCAGAUGAAGGAGCCUAUUGAGAGGCAGCUGGCAUCGUGAUUGGACUUUACUUUGGUCUGUUCCAAUCCAGCUUCAGCUCCAGAGACGGCAGGUGGGACGAGUCAACAGAGGCUGGAUGGACGAAGGCAUGAAGCUGAGUACAAUCCAGAAAACAACAGAGGAGGAGUGCAGCAGCCCAGAGCCAGAACAAACAGAGUAGCAUCGUAUGUCUCUUAGAAAACAUCAUAGUAUAGCCUUUGGUAUGAAAAAACGCCAUCAUAUACAUCGUAUAUUGUACAAAUAACAAGUCAAAGGAAAGAGACAUACAUUGUAGAAUUGUAGUAAUUGUGGGCUGACUGAUUUACUGAUUAUCAUUAUUUCAUUUUUUACUGAUUUAAGGUAAUAAAUAAAUUUAAAAAUGGCGCUA